UUAGCAAUACUUCCAUGCUGGAGGAAGUGGGCUGAAAAAGAACUUCCUGGAAAAGAGCCCAGACCUACACUCCCUGAAAUACGCUCUUAGUCUUUACACACAAACUACUGAUGCCUUGAUAAAGAAAUUCAUAGACACGCAGAAGUCUCAAAGCCAAACCACUAAUAAUUCAGUGGGUGAGAUAUCUGUACAGGUGGAUCUUUCUACACAUCCUGGAACUGGUGAGCAUAAAGUUACUGUAAAAGUUGUAGCAAUUAAUAAUCUCAACUGGCAAACAACAGCUAUGUUCCGGCCAUUUGUGGAAGUCUGUGUAUUAGGUCCUAACCUAAGUGACAAGAAAAGGAAACACGGAACUAAGACAAAAAGCAACACCUGGUCACCAAAAUACAAUGAGACUUUCCAAUU